rnacentral:rRNA from 1 species
AGAGAUGUGUGAUGACGCAUAUCAAUAAGCGGAGGAAAAGAAACUAACAAGGAUUCCCUUAGUAACGGCGAGUGAAGCGGGAAGAGCUCAAAUUUGAAAUCUUCAAGGUUCUACCUUGACGAAUUGUAGUUUAUAGAAGUGUUUUCUGUUAGUGGAGUGGCAAAAGUUCUUUGGAAUAGGACAUCAUAGAGGGUGAGAAUCCCGUAUUUGGUCAUUCCUCCUAGCGUUGUGAUACACUUUCAACGAGUCGGAUUGUUUGGGAAUGCAGUCCAAAAUGGGUGGUAAAUUUCAUCUAAAGCUAAAUAUUGGCGAGAGACCGAUAGCGAACAAGUACCGUGAGGGAAAGAUGAAAAGAACUUUGAAAAGAGAGUUAAACAGUACGUGAAAUUGUCAAAAGGGAAGCGUUUGACACCAGUGUUGUUUUUCCGAAAAUCAAUUACGAAUGUUUUAUUUUUGAGGAGUUAUGACUUCAUCGGCUUGCUCCUCUCUUUACUGAAACUUUCUUAAUGCACUUUUCGGUUAACAAGUCAACAUCAAUUUCUUUUGUUGUAAAAGGGUACUGAGGAAGGUGGCUUUCUUUUCGGAGAAAGUGUUUAUAGCCUUGUGCCUCUGCAAUCGGAGAGAUUGAGGUCUGCAGCGUAGAUCCUUCGGGGUUAGGAUACAGUUUGUGCUAAGUUAUAGCUUUUCAUAGACAACUUGUUGACUAUGUUUAGUCUUGUAGCUUACUCGCUUAUGCUAUUUUACCUACGCUUAGGAUGUUGAAGAUGUAGCACAUCAU